rnacentral:rRNA from 1 species
CAGCAGCCGCGGGAACACGGAGGGUGCAAGCGUUAUCCGGAUUUAUUGGGUUUAAAGGGUCCGUAGGCGGAUCUGUAAGUCAGUGGUGAAAUCUCACAGCUUAACUGUGAAACUGCCAUUGAUACUGCAGGUCUUGAGUAAAUUUGAAGUGGCUGGAAUAAGUAGUGUAGCGGUGAAAUGCAUAGAUAUUACUUAGAACACCAAUUGCGAAGGCAGGUCACUAAGAUUUAACUGACGCUGAUGGACGAAAGCGUGGGGAGCGAACAGGAUUAGAUACCCGUGUAGUCCCUGUCUCUUAUAC